rnacentral:rRNA from 1 species
UCCGGAAUUAUUGGGCGUAAAGAGCUCGUAGGCGGUUUGUUGCGUCGGCUGUGAAAUCCCGAGGCUCAACCUCGGGUCUGCAGUCGAUACGAGCAAACUAGAGUGUUGCAGGGGAGACUGGAAUUCCUGGUGUAGCGGUGAAAUGCGCAGAUAUCAGGAGGAACACCGGUGGCGAAGGCGGGUCUCUGGGCAACAACUGACGCUGAGGAGCGAAAGCGUGGGGAGCGAACAGG